rnacentral:ncRNA from 1 species
CUUUAUCGGUCAACUCUCUCAGGCCUGCCUAUGUUGUAAAGCAUAGGGUGAAAUACCACUAUAUGCUGGAAACUCCUAAAGCUCAACUUACCUAAAAGGUAAUAAUGGUUGUGAUAUAACAAUGGACAAUCAGCAGGAAACCGUUAUAUUUAUAAUGGGUUCCUCAGAGACUAUACGUGGUACCCCAGUAAUAUAUUAAUUACAGGGUGAAGAUAUAGUCCAAUCUCUAACCAAUUAAUAU